rnacentral:rRNA from 1 species
CUACCUACGGGACGCAGCAGUGGGGAAUAUUGCACAAUGGGGGAAACCCUGAUGCAGCGACGCCGCGUGGGCGACGAAGCGCUCCGGCGCGUAAAGCCCUGUCAGCAGGGAAGAAAAAAGACAGUACCUGACCAAGAAGCCCCGGCUAACUACGUGCCAGCAGCCGCGGUAAUACGUAGGGGGCAAGCGUUAUCCGGAUUUAUUGGGUUUAAAGGGUGCGUAGGCGGAAUGCCAAGUCAGCGGUAAAAUCGCGGGGCUCAACCUCGCUCCGCCGUUGAAACUGGCGUUCUUGAGUGGGCGAGAAG